GCUCUGAUGGCCUAGUGGUUAGAGCGUCCGCCUCAGAUGUGGGAAAUCGUAGGUUCGAUUCCCGGUCGGGUCA